rnacentral:rRNA from 1 species
CACACCUGUUCCCAUGCCGAACACAGAAGUUAAGCUUCAGCACGCCGAUAGUAGUUGGGGGAUCGCCCCCUGCGAGGAUAGGACGUUGCCACGC